rnacentral:rRNA from 1 species
CGUGUAGGCGGCCAGGUAGGUCCGUUGUGAAAACUCGAGGCUCAACCUCGAGACGCCGGCGGAAACCAUCUGGCUAGAGUCCGGAAGAGGAGAGUGGAAUUCCCGGUGUAGCGGUGAAAUGCGCAGAUAUCGGGAAGAACACCUGUGGCGAAGGCGGCUCUCUGGGACGGUACUGACGCUGAGACGCGAAAGCGUGGGGAGCGAACA